rnacentral:sRNA from 1 species
GCUUCUCAAAGCUUUGAUAGUGUAGCCGAAGUCCGUAUGAGUCUUUGGCUUUGUAUCUCCUAAUAAGGAACCACUACUUUAGCUUAGUGUAGCCGAAGUCCGUAUGAGUCUUUGGCUUUGUAUCUCCUAAUAAGGAACCACUACUUUAGC